rnacentral:rRNA from 1 species
GCGAACGCUGGCGGCAGGCCUAACCCAUGCAAGUCGCACGGAUCCUUCGGGAUUAGUGGCGGACGGGUGAGUAACGCGUGGGAACGUGCCCUUUGGUUCGGAACAACUCAGGGAAACUUGAGCUAAUACCGGAUGUGCCCUUCGGGGGAAAGAUUUAUCGCCAUUGGAGCGGCCCGCGUCUGAUUAGCUAGUUGGUGGGGUAACGGCCCACCAAGGCGACGAUCAGUAGCUGGUCUGAGAGGAUGAUCAGCCACACUGGGACUGAGACACGGCCCAGACUCCUACGGGAGGCAGCAGUGGGGAAUCUUGCGCAAUGGGCGAAAGCCUGACGCAGCCAUGCCGCGUGAAUGAUGAAGGUCUUAGGAUUGUAAAAUUCUUUCAGCGGGGACGAUAAUGACGGUACCCGCAGAAGAAGCUCCGGCUAACUUCGUG